AACAGUCUUUCUAUGGAAGCUUGCUUCCACUGAGAAGAUAGUGGCGAACGGGUGAGUAACACGUGGGUAACCUGCCCAUAAGAGGGGGAUAACAUCCGGAAACGGGUGCUAAUACCGCAUAGUCUUCUUGAUCGCAUGAUUGAGAAAGGAAAGACGGCCUUUGUGCUGUCGCUUAUGGAUGGACCCGCGGCGUAUUAGUUAGUUGGUGAGGUAACGGCUCACCAAGACGAUGAUACGUAGCCGACCUGAGAGGGUGAUCGGCCACAUUGGGACUGAGACACGGCCCAAACUCCUACGGGAGGCAGCAGUAGGGAAUCUUCCGCAAUGGACGAAAGUCUGACGGAGCAACGCCGCGUGAGUGAAGAAAGGUUUUCGGAUCGUAAAACUCUGUUGUCAGAGAAGAACAAGUUGGAGAGUAACUGCUCCAGCCUUGACGGUAUCUGACCAGAAAGCCACGGCUAACUACGUGCCAGCCGCUGC
rnacentral:rRNA from 1 species